GUAACUUUUCCAAGAUCACUGUAAUUUUGUCAGGGGCAGGGUGGGGACAUCGAGAGAUGCCUUUUAAAGCAGCUGGUUUGAAUCUUUGGGGUCCCUGUUGCCAAAGUCUGUCCCUUUCUUGCUGUGUGUUGUUGUGCAAUAGCCUCCCCUCAGUCCCACACCCAGACACCAGCUGGGCAUGGGGAGGAGUGCAAAGAGGGUGGGGAGCAUGAAUCCAGGCCAAGGGGGUGUCAAAUAACAAAACCAAGUGACCCAACCACUGCAUCAUAGAAAAGAACAUUUUGAACUUCCGUUAACACGACUGAACAGUAUACAUCAUUUAAAAAGAAGUAUUUCAAUGAACUUGCUAUCAGGCUAAUGUUUGUUUGACUGUUAUGGCAUUGCUUCCCUUCCUAUUAUUUCCAAACUUAUUUAUUUUAGUAGUAUAUGUUUGCCAUUUUAUAAGCUAGGCACUUAUUUAUCUGAGACUGUUAUCUGAGUGCUAAUAGAGAUUCCUGAUCAUUGUAGAUGAUCAAUAAAUGUUUCAUGAUGAUGAUGAUGAUGAUGGUAAGUUUCAUGAAAUAUUUUCUAAUUCCAUGUGAUUAUGAUGAAAAUUUCCCUAUUUAGUAUUGCUUAGGGAGUGGACUUCGAGAACCAUAUUACUGCAAUGACCAUACCUGAGACUUGUGGUUGAAUUAUUAGAAUAGAUACAUGCCCUUUAUUAAUCGAAUAUUUACAACUUGAACCAAAACUAACAAAGGAUUAUUUUAGCUUUGUAAAGAUCCAUUUAUCUAAUUUCUGAUUGAUUUCAACAUGUAUAAUAUCCUUUUCACUCUUUCUCACCUCAAAUCCUGCAGCAAGCAAAAAUAAUCAUUGAAAUGUAACUUAACCAUCAAAGAAAAAAUAUAUCAUUUUUGUAACAAUUUAUAGUUUUCAUAAUAUGAGUCUCCAAUUCCAGUAUGUUUUAUAAAGACUUACAAGAUUUAUAAUAUUGGUGUUUUUUAAAGUUAAACACAUUGUUAUCAUUGACUACUUACAUCUGGCCACAUGCAGUUUCAUUUAUAGGCUUUAUAUGAUGAUCUCAAAAUUCUAAAGUAUAAACCAGAGUAUGUAUCAAAAUAACAACAAAUGGACAGGAAAAUCUUUAUAUGCCUUACAAAUCCAAGUCAAAUAGUAAUAAUACUAUCUACACUCUUCUCUGUCUAGUACUUUGAAAUUUGUUAAAUAGAUAUUUUGAGUUUCAGGGACAGUCUCAAUUUCACAUCAUUUAUUCUCAUAACUAAAUCAAACUUAUUAACUGUAGUUUUAUAAAAUGUUAAUAUAAUUGAAUUUUUAACUUACAAAAAAUACCUUGUUAUACAGUGUCUCCACUCGUCAGUUUAGAAAAGAUGAUCAAUAUAUCAAAAAGCCAUUUGCAAAACAAUUCUAAUUUCAUUUUAAUCUCCAAGAUAAUGAUUCUGUUUUCCUCCUCAGAUCUCUGGAUCUUAUUCUCUGCCUCUCAAACACAUUGCAGAGAAGAAUAUACACACAGAAGAUGAUGGGAGCAAACUCAGAGUCUGCAAUUCCAACUACUGGAGUCAAAGAGUAGCUGAAAAGAUCUCUGGGAAGAGCCAUGGAAUCAGGAUCCUGGAGAAAUAGUACAGGAGCUGUGCCUCGGUUCCUGGAUGAAUUGAGCAUUUGUUGCCCUGGAAAAAGAAUCCAUCCUGUGGGGAUGUCAAUGGCAGCUGAAUGAAGACCAGAAAGGAUGAAGAAUUGCAGAUCGAGCCCUGGCCCCAGUUGGAUGGCAUUUCAACCAAGCGUGGAGAUUUUAAUGCCAAUCACUAUUGAGAACCAUUGCAGUCUAUAUUUAAAAAUGGAUAUCAUCAUCAAUAAGGGGUUCUGAUAUAAACAAGAUAAAGCUGAAAAAUCUAAGAAUGAAGAAAGGUACAGAAGCCACCCUGCCCCAGACUAAUGAAGGCUAAAUAAUUCCGCAUGGGGCAUCUGGAAAAAGUGAGAGAGAGAGAGACAGGGCAUUGUUCAGAACCAGAUACUCAGAGACAGUGUCUUAAAGGUGAGGACAACAGAGUUAGACUUUCUCUGACUCUGACUUACAGUGGCAAGGCAUACAUGGCCAGUUCUCUACAAUGGAGACAGCACCCAGAGAGAAAGAUUCCAGAACCAAGUGAAAUAGAGUGGGACAUUUACUGAAGAAUAGAAAAUCAAAACUAGGGAAGCAGAGACAAGACAAGGACCCAGUGGUGAGAAAAAAGGCCAAAAAGGUAAGGAAUCAGGUCGAUGGAAGAAGUGACUCAGGACUGAGGUGUAAAUGAUGAGGGUUUGAUCAUGCUUUGUAUGUGUUCUAGGAGUGGUUGUUGCCACUUAAAAAUAGAUACAAUUUAUGCAAAAAAAUCUAGAAUCAGAAUCAAGGCAACAAAUCUGCUGCAAUGGCUUAGUGCAAGCAGCAACAAAGAUGAACAGAACAUCUAUUUCUAUCGAAGACCUUGGUCUUCCGAAUAGCUGCUCUUGAGACUCGUGUCCUAGGUAUCAGCAGUGGCAAUUAAUGGAGGCAACAUGGAAUAAGCAACAAGUUUUCCAGUAAGUGGACACUGUAGCCUCAGGAGUUAGAUGCUGAGUCAGAAGGAUGAAGUCACUCCACCGGAAUCACCAUACCCAAGUCUAGACCUCAGCAAUACCAUGAAGUUCUUUUGAUGAAGAAAAGGGACAUGAUUUGUUGGUUGUUAUUCCUAUUGUUACAUGGUCAUGUUAGUUAUCUAUUGCAGCAUAAUAAAUAACCGCCAAAGCUUUGUACUUAAAAUAAAAAACAUUUAUCAUG